GUUUCUUAUUUAGAAAAUUAGGCAGACUAGAUGGGCCAAAUGGUUCUUAUCUGCCGUCACUUUCUAUGUUUCUAUUAAACCUGAUUGCCCAUACUUUUAGAUUUACAUGGCUGUAAGCUGUUUGCAAGAUGUUUUUUGAAAUUCUAAUGUGGAACUAAUAUAAUAAGGGCACUCUAAGUAGCAUAACCACUACACUUUAUUGUAGUGGAAAGUAGCAACAGGUUUGUGUGUGCUGUCCCCAGUUUAUAACGAAACAGUUUUUGAGUUCAUAGACAAAACCUGGCUUCUUGUUACACCCAAAGCUCAGAAUAUGCUAAGUGUUCACCUGCAUAACUCCCAUGAUCCAUCCAAAGUUGUCCAACCAGUUCCAACCAGGCUUCCUAAAAGGUAGAUCCCAGACGUUGUAGAACUAUAACUCCAAUGAUCCUUCAUAUGCCUUUAGAAUGGCAUUAUGGAAACUGUAGGUUUAAAACAUCUGGGAAUCUACGCUUUGGGCACCCCUGAGUUACAAUAACAGACUUGUACUGAUCCUUUAAUGCGGCUUUAAAAAGGAUUUAAUUUUACCACAUGGCUCUGUUAUGAGAGAGUCAGCCACAUAAAGGUUUCUAGGCUUAUUCUUGUGCUGUUAAGGUUUUUCCAUUCAGUUUCAUGCUAUAUUUUAUUUUAUUAUAGAUGAUUGAAAAUAUUUUCAAACGUACUUAUUCAUGCCUUUGAGGGCGACUAUAGGAG